rnacentral:rRNA from 1 species
UACGAAGGGUGCUAGCGUUGUUCGGAAUUACUGGGCGUAAAGCGCUCGUAGGCGGUUGUGCCAGUCUGGGGUGAAAUCCCGGAGCUCAACUUCGGAACUGCCUUUGAUACAGCACGUCUUGAGUCCGGAAGAGGUGGGUGGAAUUCCUAGUGUAGAGGUGAAAUUCGUAGAUAUUAGGAAGAACACCGGUGGCGAAGGCGGCCCACUGGUCCGGUACUGACGCUGAGGUGCGAAAGCGUGGGGAGCAAACAGG